CAAUCUCAACUCCCAGUUUUUUUGAAAGAGAAGACUGCUUGGAGUUGGUGAUGGGCGUUUGCCAGACUUCAGUCUUGCUCGCCUGAAAUAUAUCAGUGGAUCUCUUUGGGUCGGUCUGACUAUGUGUGAUAAUUUGAUCGCAUAGGAUGUGCUCUGCGCAACCGGCUUUACAUUGGAGACUUUCUGCUUCUAACACGGAAUGGCUAGAGAGUAACUUUCUGCCAUCGUUAGCUAUAUU
rnacentral:misc_RNA from 1 species